rnacentral:rRNA from 1 species
UACGGAGGGUGCGAGCGUUGUCCGGAAUCACUGGGCGUAAAGGGCGCGUAGGCGGCCUGAUAAGUAGGGGGUGAAAUCCUGCGGCUUAACCGCAGGGCUGCCUUCUAAACUGUCAGGCUAGAGCACAGUAGAGGCAGGUGGAAUUCCCGGUGUAGCGGUGAAAUGCGUAGAGAUCGUAAGGAAGGCCAGUGGCGAAGGCGAGUCUCUGGACAGUUACUGACGCUGAGGCACGAAGGCCAGGGGAGCAAACGGG